GAAACUUAAAUCCUCAGGGUGAUACAACUCAGUCCUUCUACUGCAGCAGCUCUUUUAUAAAUGCCUCCCAAAGCUCCAAGAAGGAACAAAGAAUGUGACCAGUAAGCUCACACCAUGAGUCUAUAUUGCAGAAUAUAGACUUUGUUCAACAAAACUGCAGAUGCUCUGUUGAAUCCACUGGAGAUUGUCCUGAUACUAAGGACAAGUAUCUGCUCCUAUCAGUGACAAAUCAGCGUAUUAGAACAUGUAUGCUGGCUGAUCAUUCUGAUCAAGUCAACAAGCUUCACAACUUACUCAAUGAGGUCGUCCGUGAGAACUUCACUGUUUUACCAGGACAGGAGCUACUUCUUUGCUGAACUGCAUCACGGUUUCAACUGCUGAGGUUUUCUUCAAGCUUUUGCAUUGUUUGGAAUGUGAAAGGCACGGCUGAGACACACUUCGGCAUUCCCACUGCAUUGUUACACCUCCCCCAUCACUUCAGGUCCAGGUAACACCAAGGACGCCAUGAUGGCACAUGCCUGUGGUCCCAGCUACCCCGGAGGCUGAGGCAGGAGAAUUGCUUGAACCGCGGAGGCAGAGGUUGCAGUGAGCCGAGAUCACGCCACUGCACUCCAACCUGGGUGACAGAGUGAGACUCCUUAAAAAUAAAUAAAUAAAUAAUAAAUAAACAAAUAAAUAAUUUAAAAAAGUCAUUGCUUUAUUUUUAAAAAAGUAAUAGUUUCAAAAUGUAUACAUGUAAAAUCUAACUGGGAAUACUUUGUACCUACUUGUAGCCCAAGAUUAAGUUUAUUCUCAAUUACUAGGAGGUUUGCACAAUAGAGUACAUAUUUAAUCUGUAUGACUAAAAGCCUCAUUGUCAAUGUGACUGUGUCAUCAUUAUCACAUUUGUGAAUCUCCUGAUUAUAACUUUCACAGAUGGUCUAUCUACAGGGUUCUGGGAUAAGAAACUUGCUGUCUGUCUACAGAGGAAGCUGUUUUCACUUCCAGAUAGUUCUGAAUAUUUGAAAGUACUUGCUGAUUCAGAGUCAAAUUAUGUCUUGCUGUAACAUCCACAAUUUCUGAACUUACAUUUGAGAUAAACCAAGAUUAGACUAAACCAUGCCUUCAAGUGACAGACUCUCAAAAAUGUGAUGCAUUUUUUUUCAAAAAAAACUGCACG
rnacentral:lncRNA from 1 species